UCAUGGAUUCAGUCUGCCGCUUCAAUAUCUCAUUAUCCUGCAGCACUCUGUCGCUAUCUUCUACCUAUGAAUAAAAACAGACCUUGUCAGAGAAGCAAAUGUGAAACCUUAUUACAACAUGUAUGCUAAGUCGCUAACCCAUAGAGACACCUAGAACAAAUGUGAAAACUUUCCAUGUUGCCGAGUAAGUAUAUGAGCACCCCUCAAAACAUUAAUUAGCAAGUACUUGACACAUACAAACUUGUACAGAAAAAAUAACACUUCCGAAUUUAAUUGGCUUCAAAGAUUGCAAGGAAGGCAUACUGAUGAGCUGCAAUGCAAUCUUCAAUGUUCAGUACUUGUACACGCUAUGCUCCUGCGGUGCAACCCCUAGCUCAUGUGGCUUCACAAAGUCUACAUUGUAUAGGACAUUUUUUAGCAAAGGGUGAAACUGCAUACAUAUACAUCUCAAAUCAUAUGUAGUAUGUGUCUAGUCAUCCUACGAUUGCCCGAGCUCAUAACUGUAUUUCUUAUAAACACUUUAGACAUGUUCAGGAAACACAUGUAGUUAACGACAAGUGUACAUAUCACCCAUUUUAUAGGUUCAAAGACAGAUAACAAAAAUUAACUAGACAAAGUUAGAUGACAGUGAAGCUUAAAGCUGCAGUAAGAAAUAUUAGGGGGAAGCUUUAGUUAAACGAAGUUAAAAGACAGAUAUUUUCUAGUGUUUCUAAGACAGUGACCUUGUCAAAAACACGUUUCUGCAUUUUAAUUAGGGGGGAGCUUUAGUUCUAAAAUACUGGAACUGUGACUGAAAGAUCAUAUAUCUCUACUACCUAAAAAGAACGUAACGUUCCCUCUCCCCUCUUACGUCGCCCACCCUUCGUCCAUCCUUCUCUCGUACGACCCCCACCCCACCAUCGGUUUUCUUUCUUCCCUUCACCGGUUUUCUUUCUGCUGGUUCCUAUUUGCCGGUUUUAUUCACAUCUGGCUGGACAGACUCACUCUAUUUUUUUUGGCAACCAGAUAAUUCAUGUAUGGUAACCAAUCUUUUGUUUGGUAAUACAAACGCGAUCAGUAUAUAUAUGGUAAUGAAUAUCCUCUAUGGUAAUGCAAUAAACUUAAUGAAGGUCAUCAAUUUCCUUUCUUCUUUCAACCAAUCGGUAAACAAAUCAGAAGGAGGCAAUCACAUACAUGUAUGGAAGAUAAUCGCGGAGACCGCGCGUGACAUGCAGGAAGAAAUUGUUGAGAUCCGCGGAAAAGAAGGGAAAAAUCUCUAGGCCGCUCGCACUCCCCCAUCAACGGCCCUGCACAUGCACUCCCGAUUUGGAUUUUCUAAAAUCGUGAUUCACAUAUAUCUUUCUUAUCCAUAUGGCCGAUCCUUGUGGGCACGUUUCAUCUAUAGACGCGGGGGACCGGACGGCAGCCGGGACGGGCUCGCCGGUGUACCGCACCUCAAGGCCGUCCUUCUCAACAUGCUGCGCCACGACCGCCCGCCAUGUCCGUAGCACCCGCUGAGGUGAGCUCCUUGCAUUCGCAUACGUGCAUUAGCAACAAACAAAGCAGAGAGAUCACCAAUAAAAAGGCAGCAGCAGCAGCUACUGUUGCAAGAGCAAGACAGGACAACGAGAGCAUGUGACUCCAAUUAGAGAUUCAGAUAAGAACAUCCUGCAGUAGUGGACAGUCCUUAUCUUCUCAGAUCAUGCUGAUGUUGCACAUGAGAAAUUAUAAGGGGGGAGCACAGAUUCAGGUGGUGAAACGGUUAAGGAGUACAAGCUCAAGACAUUCAAUGAUUCAAGGCAUGCACUAAUGUUCAGAAUUGCCACACAUUCCAGUAUGUUGAUAUGUAUAACUUGUAAAUUGUGAUCAUAUGCCAUGGGCACUGUUGAUGGGAUUUCGUACGGGACUGCCAGGGGCAAGCAAGGUAAUCUUCUUUCCUAUGAUAUGAUUUUUAUUUCUUGUUCCUCCGUCUAUCUAAACGACUAAGAGAUGUUCAAUGAAAUGACUCUACAUGUUGCAGUUAAGAGUAUAACAUAGUUGUUUCUCCAAGGGCCGUUGGCCGAACUUUAUUAGAUGGGAAAGAAGUACAAGCUGGUUAGCAGUCUAGGUGCACUAGAAGUGAAAACCAGAGGAUGUUGUUGUUCUCUUUAUAUUCAGUAGAGGCUCACCUUACUUCGAUGUGCUAGCUCAAGGGAGAAAAACGAACAUGGAUAAAGGAGCCCACUUCGUAGAAGUUAACUCAUAAUUUACUCCUGAGUCCUUACUACUAAUGGAUUCGUGAUAUCAUUGCAUUGACCACAUAACAUCAUGUUGUACUACUCUGUAUUUAGAGUCAUCAUUCCACGCAUCUUUGAUUAUUUUUUGUAAAUAAGAAAUUUAAUAUGCAGUCACCUGCACCACAGUCGUUCCAUUUGCAAAUUAGACAUACAGUACACUUCAUCUCCCAAGAUAUGUGAGACCAUUUAUAGAUUUACCAAGUUUAGAAAAAAUAUGGUGUGCAAGCGAGGUAGACGGCAAUACGAGGAUGUAUGUGCCGGUGUUAGAAAAACACAAGCAACUAUUCCCUCUGUGACGUAAUAUAAGACAUUUUUGACAUUAUCGUAGUGUGAAAAAAUAUCUUGUUAUAGAGGGAGUAGAACUCAAUCUUGGGGUUUCAUGGCCCGCUCAUAUUUUGUCCAUAUAAAAAUGGGAUUGAUGGAUGCAUUACAUUUUAUAUUUGCUUUCAGACGAAAUGUUUAUGAACAAGACAUGAUUCGGCAAGAUGUGCGUAAGGGUUGUAAAGGUAUAUAUUUGCCAUGAUUGUACUAAACUAUUAGAAUAUUUAUGCCCCGUUACAAUGCACGGGCAAUUACCUAAUGAUAUAAUGAUAUAUGUAAGUCAUCAUUGAUACUGAACCACACAAAAGUGACUUGCCAGGAAAAAAGAAAUCAAUAAUUCCACCUUAUGUGCAUGAGAAUCCUAACGAUAUAUGUUAGACAUGAUUGGUAUUUAACUACUAGAAUGUGCCCCGUUGCAACGCACGGGCAAUUUCCUAGUACUAUUAGAAAAACAGACCAAAAUCCUCGCAGAAAAAAACAGACCAAAAAAAUUAACUUCCUACUUACAGUGGCAAGAAAAUCUUAUAUGAAUGUGUUAUAAUAAAUAAUGCUAACCAUGAAGUCUUCUUCCAUAUAACAAAGGAGUGACGAAAACAAAAAACCUA
rnacentral:lncRNA from 1 species